rnacentral:lncRNA from 1 species
UUCUGGUAGAAAAUGGCAGCUGAAGAUGAUAGGAAUCUUGUCGAAAUCAUGGAAACCCUGAAUCCAAUAGAUGUUGCUAAAUACAUGAAUUUUGUUGGUGCCCCCCAAGCUGGUGCUAUAGCUACAUUUUCAGGCACAACUCGCGACACCUUUGAAGGAAAAACAAUCGUGGAGUUGAGAUACGAAGCUUAUGUUCCAAUGGCAAUACGCUGUAUCAAGUCAAUCUGUUCAUCUGCUAGAGCAUCCUGGAACAUACAUUCUGUUGCUGUUGCUCAUCGUCUAGGCACAGUGCCUGUUGGUGAAACAAGUGUCUUCGUUGCUGUCUCGUCUGUCCACCGGGCUGAUGCGUUGGAGGCUUGUAGAUUAUUGAUAGAUGAGAUAAAAGCACAAGUUCCUAUUUGGAAAAAGGAGGUCUAUUCAAAUGGGGAGGCUUGGAAGGAGAACAGUGAGUUCCUAGAGAGGAGGUCUGAGCUUGGUAACAAGAAUGCAGCUUGCUGUGGGAAAAAAUGCAGAAAUUAAAGAGUACAACAAAAAGUCUUGCUGUAGGACCAAGGUUCGGGCUGAUGACGAAUGUAGCUAGAACUAGUAUCAAUGUUGGGGAUCAAAUAUACAAGAGGGUAAUUGCAAUUGUUGUAGUUUGAAGAAUAUGCCCUUUUUCCUCCCUUUGCAUUUGUCCAAUCAGUUGAUAAGAUUGUAUUUUAGCUUUGAAGUCAAUAAGUUUGCCUAUUGAGAUAGAUAGGCUACUUUGAUAUCUCAUUCUGCCCUUUUUUUAGUUUAUUGUGAACAAAGGUGAUAAUGACAUAUUGACAGCAAGAGUUUUAUUAGAAGUUAAUUCCAAGACGUAUAUUUUUUGUAUUAACAAUUCCUUAAUAACUUGAUUUGGGUUUAGUCACACUUAAAACUUUCCACCCCUCUCAAAGAGUAUUAUGUGGGAAUUGAAUUCAUGUUUUUUUCUCAUAAACUCAUUGUAAAUUGUCAGCUGAAUUACAUCUAUUAGGUAUUUAAUGGUUAGUGUUAUAGUGCAAGGAUGAAAGCAACACCAGAGUUUGUAAGAAUGUUGCUAUCUUUUCAAAAUAAAUAGUGUAAUAUAAAAAAAUUUCAAAAAAUAAUAAAAAUAUAGAUGUAUCAUCUAUCAUUAUUAAUAUCCUAUGUAAUAAAAAGAUAAAAAUAAAAAUCCCAUCUUAUGUAAAAAAGAAUAAAACUAAUAAAACCUUACCUUAUGAGUUACGAGUGGAGGAAGAGAAAAAAAAAAAGAACCUACCAUAUAUAAAAAGGAUAAAUUAUUAUUAAAUAUUUUAAAGGCAAAAGGAAAAUUAAACAUAAGAAACUAAAACCUAAGGGCUUGGUUAAGGUGGUUGUGAGUUUUUAAUUUUUGAUUUUUAAAUGUAAUUUUUAAAACAAUACAACAUGUUUGAGAAAAAUAGAGUUAAAAUUGUUUUUAAAUCAUUUUCAAAACAUCCUUAUACUCAUUUUAAAAAUCAAAGAAAAAAAGUUUUGUGAAUUUGAAUUUUAAUGUUAAAAAAAAUAUAUUUCCUAUAUUUUGAUAAUGACACUUUUUUCAUUGUCCACUACUACCAUCAUUAUCAUUGCGACUACCACAACCAUUUCCACCACAUCCACCACCAAUAUCACCUUUGUCCUAUCAUCAUCAGUGUCACGACCAUCAUAUAAUCAUUGUCACUCCCACCAAAGUCAUUGCAACUACCACUAAUACUGCUACCACCAUGAUGACCACCAACAUCACCAUCACCACUAACAUUGUUACCGCAACCAACAUCACUUUUUAUACCACCACCGCACCACCACCACUUACUACCACCACCAAUUCCGUUACCCAUUGUCACCCUGCCAUCACCGUCACCACCAUCGCACCAACACCACAACUAUUACCACCUUCGUCACCAUUACCAUUGUGGUCACUCUCAUAUAAAAAUACUCUUAAUCUUAAUAUAACAUGAAACCUUUAAAAUGAGUUUUUAUUUUAAAAUUAGUUUAAAAUUAAAAGUAAAAAUUGGUUAUUAUUUUUAAAAAUUUCAAACUUCAAAACUAAAAACAACCUCAAAAAGGAUAAAUAAUUUUUAAAACAUUACAGAUAGUAAAAAAUACUACAAGAUAUUAAAAAUAUUGCUUAUUUUUUUAAGGAAAAAAUUGUUUAAUAAAUCUUAUUUAGAAACAUUUUUUAAUUAAUAAAAAAAUUUAGAAACCAAUUCAACUAACGUGCCAAAUAUAACUUAAUUUGAGAGAUUUAUUUCCAACAGUAACAAAUAAAAAGAAAGAGUAAUUAAUAUUAUUUUUUUUCAAGUGAGUUUAAUUUUUAAAGUAGUUAUUAUAAAAAUGAUUAAUAAUUAAUAUUGUUUUACAUGACAAUUUAUAUUUAAAUACAGUGGAAAAAAAUUUAUGGUUUUAGUGUAUUUAAAUUGAAAUCCUAAUUUUUUCAAUGUUUUAAUGUUUACAAACUAAAUUGUUGUUCUCUUUUUCCUAAAAAUCUCAAGUCUCUUUUAAAAUUUUAAUGUAAAAAAUAAAAACAUUUUAAAUAGUGGUGCAAACAGGACAGAGGUUCUGGGUUUUCUUUUCACAUUACAAAGUACAAACACUCUGCAGCAGGAGCGUACGCAUAACUCCCCGCCGUCCGGACAUUUCUUGGUUCCUGGUACGUGUGUCUGACUUUUUUUUCUUACUAUGUUGUCUUCUGCCUUAGGAUUUGUGCUUUGUUUCUGCGUUCAUAAAUCAGAAUCAAGAUCUCAUUACUACUUUCGCACGUGUUGCUUUUGUUGAUCUGGGUAAUAAGGGUUGAGCCCUUUUAUCUUUUCUGAUUAUGCAUGCUGAUGAAGUUGAUGGGAACGUAUUCAGUUUUUUUGAGCUUCUUUUUAGGUUGUUUAGAAUUCUGAAAAAUAAGUGAGGGACUUGAGAUUGAUUUUCUAAGGUAACUGUUCAGUGCACUGCCCAAAUGUUCAAAAGUAACACCAUACACACAAAGGAGAAGAAAAUAAGAAGGAAAAAUGAAAUAAGUUUCUCCCAUAAGUUAAAAUUAGCCUUUUGGAGAAGCUAAUUGAUUUUAACUUCAGAAGCUAAUUUUAGCUUAUGGGAGAAGCUUGUUUCAUUUUUUCUUUUUAUUUUCUUUUAAGUGCUUCUGAAGAAGAAACUUAUCAAAACAGGGCCUUAGAAGGAACAUGUUAGCAUGUUAGAUGUCUGAAAGUAUAUUAAAAUCUAAAGUUUUAACCUGCUAUUGCUAAUAUACUCCUUUUGCAACACAAGGAGGAGAAUAUUAGCAUCCUUUAUUCAUGUGUGUGCGUGUGUGUAUGCAUUCCUCAAGGUGGAUCUAUCAAAAGCUACGUGUGUGCAGUUGAAAGAGCAUUCAUCCUCCACACCAACCUUGGAAAGUGUAGUUAUGUUUGGCAUGCUUUAUUUAAUAGUUUUUCUUAGUAUCAGAAUUUUGGACCAUUCCACUUUCCUUCCUUCUCUUUAUUAUAUUAAUCAACAACAAUAAGAAGAAUAAUUAAUUGGUAUUAUUGUGCAGAAACUCUAAUUUCCCAAUUUGUGGUUGAAGAUUUGGGUAGGGACUUAGGGUAAGAGAUGGUACAACACAGGUUUUUGAGAGACAAGUUCUCUCCUCAAAUCACUUUACGUAUUGUGAUACCAUUCCACUUUCCUUUUCUCUAUUUAUCAUUCCUGUAACUACCACCCCUUAACUGCUUAACAACUCUCUGAGUACAACUAUCAACAAAUCAAUCAUUCCGUUAGUCUUCUUAGAGUCAUGAUUCCCUACAUCACUUCCUAUUUUUCCUAGCAUACACCCCUUAGUAAAAGGGGGUCUCUGGUAAGGAUGUGAUAUUUUUUUUUUUGGUGUCGUAACUAAUAAGAAUGUGAUCGUAAGGAUAAUAUCGUUGAAAGCCAUCUAUAGCCAUCAUUGUUACCCGGCCCCUCCCUCUCAUCUUUCAACACCCUCAGCUCAGCUAAAUGCAGCGUUUAACUGGUAAUUGCUCAUUCUUUGUAUUGCUUUUAAUUUUUUGCUUUGCUUUGUUCUGAGGUUUUUGUUUUGUUUAAGGUUUCUAUUAUCUAAGUUGCUGUUCGUUUGGAUUUCGCUUUGUAGAAUAGUAGAGUGAAAUUCAAACGACUUUUGAGUUCAAUUAAUAUUAUUUUUCUCAUAAUUUUUUUGGUCACAUGAUUCUGUACUGAUUUUGAGGGUCAGAAUUCGAAGAAUGUUUUGAUUUGUUUUCUUUCCAUUAAGAGCAAUUUUGGACCGGAUUUUAAUUUUUAAUUUCCAAGUUAUUGAAUUAAGCUUUCCCCUUUGGAGGCUUUUGAGGCUGUUUUUAGAUGUGGGUUGUUUGGUUUUUACUUACUUAUAUUUUAGUAAUUUUCUGUUCUGGGUCUCCCUCUUGUUACCGAAAUUUUUUGUUUUCUAUACAAUGAACCUCGUGCUGUGAAAAAAUCACCAAACUGCAUGUUGGACUUGUAUGAAACAAAAGACCAAACUUAGCAGCAUAUGCUUUCUAUUCACUUUUAUAGCACACCCUAUAACAGGGAAUAUAGAGCAAACUCUUUGGUCAAUAUUGUACAUGAUAAGUUGAGGGAAAUUGGUAAUGGUGUGUGGUGUUCUAACCUUGAAAUUCAUGAUGCGCUGACUUAGUAUUUGGCAAAAUAUGUAUCCUCAGUUACGUUAAAAUUUGAAUGCGAAAGCUUGACUCCUUGUCUUUUUCUUCAUUCUUCUUUGUGUUGUUUCAUUGUGCUUAUAUUUUCCCCCUUAGUAUUGUCCUUUUUUCUGUACUGAUUUUAUCUAUGCACUUAUUCUGUGCUAAAUUUGAAAUUCUGUAUUAAAAGUGACUCCCCUUCUUUAAAAAUCACUGUGAAAAUAUGAAAGAGGGAAUGGAACUGACCCUUAGAAUCAUUAGCAUUCUUGUCUGGAUGGUAUAUGAAAUGAAGUAGAAUUAGCUAAUUAUUAAAUUAACCAACUCUUUUCAGAUGAAAAGAUAGGAAGAACAGUCCAUUAGAGUAACCAGGUGCACCUGAAAGAAUAUUAAUCUAUUCUUGUAAAACUCCUUUAUUUCAUUAAGUUUUAUUGAUUAGUUGUUAGGUCCGGAUAUCAAAUGUAUGAAACCAAUAUAAUGGCAUGAUGAUAGACCAGAGACCCCCUUUUACUAAGGGGUGUAUGCUAGGAAAAAUAGGAAGUGAUGUAGGGAAUCAUGACUCUAAGAAGACUAACGGAAUGAUUGAUUUGUUGAUAGUUGUACUCAGAGAGUUGUUAAGCAGUUAAGGGGUGGUAGUUACAGGAAUGAUAAAUAGAGAAGAGGAAAGUGGAAUGGUAUCACAAUACGUAAAGUGAUUUGAGGAGAGAACUUGUCUCUCAAAAACCUGUGCUGUACCAUCUCUUACCCUAAGUCCCUACCCAAAUCUUCAACCACAAAUUGGGAAAUUAGAGUUUCUGCACAAUAAUACCAAUUAAUUAUUCUUCUUAUUGUUGUUGAUUAAUAUAAUAAAGAGAAGGAAGGAAAGUGGAAUGGUAUCACAUUACAUGUUCUGUUAAUUGGAGCUGGACAUUUCUUUGUUCCCUUUUCUCAAAUUUUCUGAAUUCAAUAGAUCAAAACCCAAAUUCUCUCAAUUUCAGUUUUCAUCCUCCAAAAACCUCUCUCUCUAACUUCUCAAAAGGUUUUCCCCAUUUACAAGCUUAACCCACAGGUUCUUUCUUCCUCUGUUACUCAAUUUUCAGUUUGUUUUUUUGCUUUUAAUCUGACCCCAUAGCUAUGAUGUUCUGCGAAUUAGAUUCCAUGAUAGUAAUGUUGACUGUUGCUAAGACUGGAACAUGGUAAAUGCCACUGUCAGUGCUCCUUUAGAUAUCUGAAUUGUGGAAAUCUUGGAUAAACAGCUCAUAACUAUAACAGAGACAUUCAAAAUCUUUAUCUUACUCCUGUACCUCUGUACAUGUAAUAGUUAGUGGCAAUGAAAAAUAAGAGCUGAUAAUUUCUUCUUUAGAUUAGUUGUUGUGAUACAACAUAUUGAUCUGUGAAUUCUGAAUCUUGUUGGCAUCUUUCAUUGCAUGAUGAGCCUGCUUUGUAAAAGUCCCAACUAGCCUUGCCGCUAUUUUUUUUUUUUUUUGUUUUAAUUUUGCAAAGUUUGUAGGAAGCCAUGUUCAUUUUUUACUGUUACUACUGUUAUUUUUUAAUUACAAUUUAAAAAUGCAUCUUUCUAUCCUUCAAAGUAUCUAGGAAACCAGUUAUACAUACAUAUAUCUCCUAUGCCAUACAGCCAUACCACUGUUUUUAUUAGUUUUAUGUCGUGAUCCUGAGAUACCUUCUGAUAGACACACUAAUUGUUUCAUGUUAAAUUCCUAGGAUAUACUAUUACACAACUCCUUCAUAGUUGCCUAUCAGCCACAGCCAAUAUGCUUUUUUUUUUUUAAAAAAAAGAAUUUGAUGCAUUAUUUCGGUAGUGUUACAAUUGAAUGUGUAGAUUUUAUUUUACUUCUGAAUUAUUUUUUACAAGUCUUUUAUAUAAAAUUUCAGAGCUUGGUCUUUUAUAUGAAGGGUCCUAGCCAUAUUUAUGUGACUUGGCCCUUUUUUUUUAAUUUGCUUUUUUGUAUGGUAUAAGUCGUUUGAUGUUGACGUUAUAACCUGAUAUUGCACAAGAUUCACCAUGGCAACUAUGAGAGGCUGUAAUCGAUUUGAAGGAUGAACCACUGGACUUGUCUAUAAUUUUUGAAGGAGGAAAGGGUUGUAACAGCAGAUUUUUGUUCCAUCAUCAUAUUAUCUGAACUUCUGGUAGAAAAUGGCAGCUGAAGAUGAUAGGAAUCUUGUCGAAAUCAUGGAAACCCUGAAUCCAAUAGAUGUUGCUAAAUACAUGAAUUUUGUUGGUGCCCCCCAAGCUGGUGCUAUAGCUACAUUUUCAGGCACAACUCGCGACACCUUUGAAGGAAAAACAGUCGUGGAGUUGAGAUACGAAGCUUAUGUUCCAAUGGCAAUACGCUGUAUCAAGUCAAUCUGUUCAUCUGCUAGAGCAUCCUGGAACAUACAUUCUGUUGCUGUUGCUCAUCGUCUAGGCACAGUGCCUGUUGGUGAAACAAGUGUCUUCGUUGCUGUCUCGUCUGUCCACCGGGCUGAUGCGCUGGAGGCUUGUAGAUUUUUGAUAGAUGAGAUAAAAGCACAAGUUCCUAUUUGGAAAAAGGAGGUCUAUUCAAAUGGGGAGGUUUGGAAGGAGAACAGUGAGUUCCUAGAGAGGAGGUCUGAGCUUGGUAACAAGAAUGCAGCUUGCUGUGGGAAAAAGGCAGAAAUUAAAGAGCACAACAAAAAGUCUUGCUGUAGGACCAAGGUUCGGGCUGAUGACGAAUGUAGCUAGAACUAGUAUCAAUGUUGGGGAUCAAAUAUACAAGAGGGUAAUUGCAAUUGUUGUAGUUUGAAGAAUAUGCCCCUUUUCCUCCCUUUGCAUUUGUCCAAUCAGUUGAUAAGAUUGUAUUUUAGCUUUGAAGUCAAUAAGUUUGCCUAUUGAGAUAGAUAGGCUACUUUGAUAUCUCAUUCUGCCCUUUUUUUAGUUUAUUGUGAACAAAGGUGAUAAUGACAUAUUGACAGCAAGAGUUUUAUUAGAAGUUAAUUCCAAGACGUAUAUUUUUUGUAUUAACAAUUCCUUAAUCACCUGAUUUAGGUUUAGUCACACUUAAAGCUCUCCACCCCUCCCAAAGAGCG